rnacentral:misc_RNA from 1 species
UCUCCACCAUAAUUAGGUUUACCUAUAUUGAAAAUAAUCAAUCAGCGCUGUCCAUAAACAAUUGAAUUGAACAGUGUGAUCAGUGGAAACAUGAACAUCACAUCAUAAGUGAACAAGUUGGAUUUACUGUCACAACUAAUAAAACUAUCAGGACUACAAAAUCUUAAUUGUUUUGAUAUAAAAUUUUCCCUGGAAUUCUGAAUAUGAAUAAGUAUAAAAUAUUGGAACCUGAACCCAUCGACGAGGGGAAUUCUUACAGGACAUGGUUAGCCAAGAAUCUGAAAAAGGAUGAAAAAGUCGCAAUUAAAAUUCUGAAGAAGAAUUUCUACAGUUUAGAGGAAUGCAAACGUCACAAGGAGGUUCAGAAUCUACAGUCCCUGAACCACAAAAAUGUCCUGAAGAUGUUGGAAUUGAUAAAUGAUCGUAACGAACUACUGAUGGUGUUUGAAUACAUGCCGGAAAAUGUCAAAAGAGUCAUGCAAAACAGGGGCAGUCCCUACUCGGAAACGGAAACCAAGAUUAUAAUGCAACAAGUGUUCCAAGGUUUAUCACACGUGCACGGCAUGGGGUUUAUUCACCGGAAUCUGCGGCCUGAGAUUCUACUCUGCGACAAGGAAGUGACAAUAGUCAAGAUAUCUGACUUUUCAAUGGCCAAGUCAGUUCUAGAUCCUCUGGGGGAAUAUGUCGUCUCCCCACUCUGGUACAUGUCUCCAGAGGUGUUGCUAGGGGCGACCGAUUACACGAACAAAGUUGACAUGUGGGCCGCCGGCUGUAUCAUGGCAGAGCUUCUAACAGGUAAACCACUUCUGCCGGGAACGUCGGACCGUGACCAGAUGAAACUUAUAUGCGAGCUGAUUGGAAAUUUUACUACGCGACAGUGGCAAGACGGAGCGAUGUUACGGCGAUCUCUCGGAUACAGUCUCCCGGCAAGCAACACAGGUAAAGGACUUGGUGAAGCCGGUGUCCAGGCUAGCAGUGAUGCCAAGGGUCUUAUUAUGGACCUCCUAAACUGGGCACCAAACCAGAGGACGUCCGCCGAACUGGCAUUACGGCGCGACGUUUUUAAGUCGGAUGGAGAGUUCAUAAACAAAGACGAAAGUCAAGAAAUCCUGAAUACUGCAGAAAUACAACUGAAAGAAUGGAGUAAGAAGUGGGAGGCAGAUUUGAAUCGAGGAUCUAUCGAAGAACUGGACAGUAUUUUGGCGGGAAUCAACAGGAGACAACCGUAUAGAGACAGAAACAACACCCGCAACAAAUUUGCUGGUUUUGAGAAAAGUAAUCCGCUUUUAGGUGACAGCACGCCACGGGAUAAACGGAGUCAACCUGAGACAAACGGCACUGUUAAUGUGCAAACGAUUGACGAUCCUGUCCGAAUGUAUCGUCCAAAAGCGAUCAGCGAACCUGUUAGAACAUAUCCAAUAGAUGCCCAGUCCCCGGAUAAAAUUCCUCAUAUGAAUCCGUUUGAAGAAGAACUGCAGUCACGUGAAGAGAAACGAUCCAGGCAAAGUACACACAACGUGGCACCUUUUGCCGCAGAUGGUCAAAUAUCGCCGCAGCGUGAACCACUCAUUGGCGCGGAUGGUCAGAUGUCACCGCGGCGGAGCAAUGUAUCCCCAAGACGUAAAAUUAAUGAUCAGCUGGGACAGUUAGGCGAAGGGCCUGACAAAAAUCAAAUUGAACAAGAGCAAAAAGAGAAAAGAUUGAAAGCUGAACAACUCAAAAGGACAAACCCUGUAAAAUACAGGACUAUUUAUGGAUCUGCCAGAGGUAUUUUUGGUGCAGGCUCACCACAGCCUGGUGGGAGAAGUGGCCCAAUGCGUUCAAAACAAGUGGGUUCUGAAACAAACCGAGAUGAUGAUCAGAAACCUCCAGUGCGGACCAGGUACGAUGACUUUCACAGUAACUACAGACCGAGUUGGGCCGAGCAUGACAAAACAGUCCGAAAUCAAUAAUCCGCAGUUUUAUAAUCCAUAUAUAUGCAUGGACGCACAAAUAUAUCAUGCACGAUAAUAGUUACAUAUUAUCAAACCAUUGUCAAAUUAAUUGAGGCCAAAAUGAAAACAAUAUUUUUACAUAACGGUUGGAAAUUGUGCAAUACGUCCUUAAAACAAGAAUAAACGGAGAAAGGGAAAUAAAAUUAGGUUCCCCGUGCUUGGCGGAUAAUUCAACAUACAACAGUAUGGCGGCGAUGAUGAAAACAACAUGCAGACCAACAUGCAGAACGGGUUUACAAGAGCUUCAUACAAUGACC